rnacentral:rRNA from 1 species
AUUCCGUAGGAGCACCUGCGGAAUAUGCAUAUCAAUAAGCGGAAUAAGUUUCCGUAUAAGAAUUUGAAGAUUCGCUCUUUUGUAUGCGGAAUAAGAUUACGAACGCAGCGAAAUGCGAUAAGUAAUGUGAAUUGCAGAAUUCAGUGAAUCAUCGAAUCUUUGAACGCACAUUGCGCCCAUUAGUAUUCUAGUGGGCAUGCCUGUUCGAGCGUCAUUUCAACCCUCAAGCCCCGGUUGCUUGGUGUUGGGAGUUUACCUGCGGGUAAUUCCUGAAAAGCAUCGGCGGAGUCGUGUUGGCCCCAAGCGUAGUAAUUUCUUCUCGCUUCCGGUGGUUCCAGCGCCGGCGUCCAGCCGCUAAACCCCCUUAUUUUCUAGUGGUUGACCUCGGGAUCAGGUAGGAAUACCCCGCUGAACUUAAGCAU